rnacentral:rRNA from 1 species
CGCCAGACUCCUACGGGAGGCAGCAGUGGGGAAUAUUGCACAAUGGGGGAAACCCUGAUGCAGCGACGCCGCGUGAGUGAAGAAGUAUUUCGGUAUGUAAAGCUCUAUCAGCAGGGAAGAAAAUGACGGUACCUGACUAAGAAGCACCGGCUAAAUACGUGCCAGCAGCCGCGGUAAUACGUAGGGGGCAAGCGUUAUCCGGAUUUACUGGGUGUAAAGGGGGCGCAGACGGCAGCGCAAGCCAGGAGUGAAAGCCCGGGGCCCAACCCCGGGACUGCUCUUGGAACUGCGCGGCUGGAGUGCAGGAGGGGCAGGCGGAAUUCCUGGUGUAGCGGUGAAAUGCGUAGAUAUCAGGAGGAACACCGGUGGCGAAGGCGGCCUGCUGGACUGCGACUGACGUUGAGGCCCGAAAGCGUGGGGAGCAAACAGGAUUAGAUACCCGGGUA